UUAACCGAUUUUCCGAGCGCUGUUCCUUCACCCAUUUAAAGAAACAGAUCCAAAACCUUUAGAAAAAACCCAAACCCUAUUUCGAAGAAGUGUGUUUUCUAUUAGCAGCACAUUAUAUUCCAAUUUUAUUUAUAUGCUGCGAUUGAAUUGUCAGUUCUGAUUGGACGCGAGGUGUGGACUUAUUUCCUAUAACUGCAGAUCUGACAGAGGAAAAGGAAAGAACGGGAACAACAACAACAACAAGGGCUGUGGAAACAAAUAUGGAUCACCUACGAAGAGGAUAAGGCUGAAAGAGAGGAUGAGAAAAUAUUUCUCUUACUUUCAACACCCUGAGAAACGACGGUAUUUGUAACUACAGAAUAACUGGUUAAUCCAGCAAUUUCACUCUCAGAUGCAUGGCCCACGAAUACUUCAGCACAAUUUAACUGGCCACGAGCUUCAAAAUCUUGAUAGUUCUUGAUCCAAUCUGAUAGGAUCUUCACACCACACUUUUGUACCCUGGUUUCUAGGGAGAAACAAAAAACACCACAACCUUUUUUUGGAACACGAUAUAGUCACUGAUAGCGGUGUCAUUGGUGUGACUUCUGGUACAUUAUGUUUUAGAAUGUUAUAAUACCAAAAAGUCUAACAGAAAGGACAAAUUCCAGUCAGAGGAGGUGAAAAAUGAACUGUUUUCCCAGCUAUAGUCAGACUUUGGACCUUUUGGCUGCUUCUAAAUAGCCCAGAAAUAACACGCCUUUGGAGAACUCAACAGCCAAAUGUAGCCUGAGUAAUGUGUGGCCGGCUCCAGACGUCUCCUCUUCCAUUCCACUGACUGCAUUGACGCCUGUGUGGAGAACUUCGGUGACACUCUGACUCGGCAUGUUCGGUCCUGGACGUAUAACUAGCUAGUCAUAUUUCAGAAAACACUUCUAACACUAAAUUGUUUCCUGUUUU